GAUGAACGCUGGCGGCGUGCCUAAUACAUGCAAGUCGAGCGAACGGGCGAGAAGCUUGCUUCUCUGAUGUUAGCGGCGGACGGGUGAGUAACACGUGGAUAACCUACCUAUAAGACUGGGAUAACUUCGGGAAACCGGAGCUAAUACCGGAUGAUAUUUUGAACCGCAUGGUUCAAAAGUGAAAGACGGUCUUGCUGUCACUUAUAGAUGGAUCCGCGCUGCAUUAGCUAGUUGGUAAGGUAACGGCUUACCAAGGCAACGAUGCAUAGCCGACCUGAGAGGGUGAUCGGCCACACUGGAACUGAGACACGGUCCAGACUCCUACGGGAGGCAGCAGUAGGGAAUCUUCCGCAGUGGGCGAAAGCCUGACGGAGCAACGCCGCGUGAGUGAUGAAGGUCUUCGGAUCGUAAAACUCUGUUAUUAGGGAAGAACAUAUGUGUAAGUAACUGUGCACAUCUUGACGGUACCUAAUCAGAAAGCCACGGCUAACUACGUG
rnacentral:rRNA from 1 species